UACGGAGGGGGCAAGCGUUGUUCGGAAUUACUGGGCGUAAAGGGCUCGUAGGUGGCCAACUAAGUCAGACGUGAAAUCCCUCAGCUUAACUGGGGAACUGCGUCUGAUACUGGAUGGCUCGAGUGCAGGAGAGGAACGCGGAAUUCCAGGUGUAGCGGUGAAAUGCGUAGAUAUCUGGAGGAACACCGGUGGCGAAGGCGGCAUCCUGGACCGGCAUUGACGCUGAGGCGCGAAAGCCAGGGGAGCAAACGGG
rnacentral:rRNA from 1 species